rnacentral:tRNA from 1 species
GGGGAUGUAGCUUAAUGGUAAAGGCUCUGGGUUCAAACCCCAGUACUCACAUCCUCC